rnacentral:misc_RNA from 1 species
UCUCCGUUGGUGAACCAGCGGAGGGAUCAUUACCGAAGUUACUCUUCAAAACCCAUUGUGAACCUUACCUCUUGCCGCGCGUUGCCUCGGCGGGGAGGCGGGGUCUGGGUCGGCGCGCCCCUCACCGGGCCGCCGUCCCCGUCCCCGUCCCCGCCGGCCGCGCCAAACUCUAAAUUUGAAAAAGCGUACUGCACGUUCUGAUUCAAAACAAAAAACAAGUCAAAACUUUUAACAACGGAUCUCUUGGUUCUG